CAGUAAAAAAUGGUCAGUAAU
ensembl:piRNA 21ur-13708 ncRNA